rnacentral:rRNA from 1 species
AGUGAACGCUGGCGGUAGGCCUAACACAUGCAAGUCGAACGGCAGCACAGUAAGAGCUUGCUCUUACGGGUGGCGAGUGGCGGACGGGUGAGUAAUACAUCGGAAUCUACUUUUUCGUGGGGGAUAACGUAGGGAAACUUACGCUAAUACCGCAUACGACCUACGGGUGAAAGCAGGGGAUCUUCGGACCUUGCGCGAUUGAAUGAGCCGAUGUCGGAUUAGCUAGUUGGCGGGGUAAAGGCCCACCAAGGCGACGAUCCGUAGCUGGUCUGAGAGGAUGAUCAGCCACACUGGAACUGAGACACGGUAGAGACUCCUACGGGAGGCAGCAGUGGGGACUAUUGGACAAGGGGCGAAAGCCUGAUACAGCCAUACCGCGUGGGUGAAGAAGGCCUUCGGGCUGUAAAGCCCUUUUGUUGGGAAAGAAAAGCAGCAGGUUAAUCCCCCGCUGUUCUGACGGUACCCAAAGAAUAAGCACCGGCUAACUUCGUG